rnacentral:rRNA from 1 species
CGAGGUUGAUAGGCCGGGUGUGGAAGCCGAGCAAUCGGCGGAGCUAACCGGUACUAAUAGGUCGUGCGGCUUGACCAUACCUCU